GAUGAAGGAUGCAAGCGUUAUCCGGAUUCAUUGGGUUUAAAGGGAGCGUAGGUGGCCUUAUAAGUCAGUGGUGAAAUCUCUCAGCUUAACUGAGAAAUUGCCAUUGAUACUGUAGGGCUUGAGUAUAGUUGCCGUUGGCGGAAUAUGACAUGUAGUGGUGAAAUACAUAGAGAUGUCAUAGAACACCGAUUGCGAAGGCGGCUGACGAAACUAUAACUGACACUGAGGCUCGAAAGUGCGGGGAUCAAACAGG
rnacentral:rRNA from 1 species